AGAGAACACCAGCCGCCUCCGGUCCCCGGUGGGUGGCUGUAUGUGUGCAAAUGAAACAGGGAGGGGAAGGGAGAGAGGGAAGGAUAUAUGCCGUGUGCCUAGGUGGACGCGCUGAAGCCAAAGGACCUGGGUCCUGAAGGAAGUCUGGAUCCAGCCCAGAGUGAGGUCCGACACGUGAUCCCCUACCCCCAGCGGGCCAUCUGUUCUCCUCCUUCCUUCCCGCCUGGAAGCUGGCAGCUCUGCCCAGCACCGUCCACGCCUCCCAGCAGGAAAGAGGCAAUCUGGAGGUGCCCCGUGCAAUGCCUGUUGCAAUGCAAGUUCAAGAGACUGUGCAGGAGGUGAUCAUAGAGACCCUGGAGAGAUCCCAUUGGUAUUUGUGCUGGACCUUAAAGAAGCAAGCAAAGGUGCAAUUUCUAAAUGAUCAUGUAUCCUUGGGGACAGAGGUUGUCCCAGAAAAAUUAUGAAGUAGGCAAACUCCCCUGCGCUUCAGUGAAUUCUUUUCUAAAAUUAAGGGGAUUGGAAAUACAAGAACUUUAAGCGGCUUCACUUUUACAUACCAUGAUGUACCUACUUUACCGUGAUGGUGAUGAUAAUAUUCUCAGUUGACCGCCACCCCUUUUCCAUACUUCGCUUUUCCAUAUAGUCAACCUACUGCGAUAGCUUCCUGUACCCCUUCAAAAGCAAAGUCAAAAUAAACUAUACUGGCCUUCAAA